GACGAACGCUGGCGGCGUGCUUAACGCAUGCAAGUCGAACGGAAAGGCCCUGCUUUUGUGGGGUGCUCGAGUGGCGAACGGGUGAGUAACACGUGAGUAACCUGCCCUUGACUUUGGGAUAACUUCAGGAAACUGGGGCUAAUACCGGAUAGGAGCUCCUGCUGCAUGGUGGGGGUUGGAAAGUUUCGGCGGUCGGGGAUGGACUCGCGGCUUACCCGCUUGUUGGUGGGGUAGUGGCUUACCAAGGCUUUGCCGGGUAGCCGGCCUGGGGGGGUGAGCGGCCGCAUGGGGGCGGGGAUGCGGCCCAGAGUGGUACGGGAGGCAGGAGUGGGGAGUGGUGCAGAAUGGGGGGGAGCCUGGUGCAGCAGCGCCGCGUGCGGGAUGAGGGCCGUCGGGUGGUAAACCGCUUUCGCCUGUGACGAAGCGUGAGUGACGGUAAUGGGUAAAGAAGCACCGGCUAACUACGUG
rnacentral:rRNA from 1 species